rnacentral:misc_RNA from 1 species
UUCCAUGUUUUUAAAUUGCUCACCAUCUGGCAAAAUGACACUUUCUACGGUAACAUUAGGGUUUCCAUCUGUCAAAGCGCUUAUAGUUUUAUCAAGAUAUAGAGGGGCAACUGUAGUGUUAGUAACGACAAGGACUCUCUUCCCAUGAAUAUGUCUUUGUAGGAGGUCAGGUUGAUCAAGAAGUCCAGCCCCAAUAUAAAUCGGGUAGCUCCGAGUACCCAGAUCCACUUCAACAACUGUAGGAGCCUGUGAACUCGCUUUACUGGACGAGUGAUCCAUCACCUUCGUGGCAGAAGUUGCCAACACCUUCAAUCGUGUGGUGGCUUUCGACUUCAGCCCACACCUGGAAGAAGGUGAAGAGACGGGAGCAGGGAAACGAACGUGUAUGUCACGUGGAAUUGCUCUGGAUUGGUGGAGUUGGUGGGUCGAAUUGGUGAAAGAUAAAGCCUGUUUUGGGCAGAAAGACGACGCCAUGAAAGUUGGUGUGGCGGAGGGAAGGAGAAAAAUUGUGGCGUCGACGAUUUGUGGAUGGCUGGUUAGG